ACUGCUCAGUAACACGUGGCUAAUCUGCCCUUAGGACGAGAACAACCCCGGGAAACUGGGGCUAACUCUUGAUAGGCGAAGAACUCUGGAAUGAGUCUUUACCUAAAAAGAUUCACGUUAUCCUCGUGAACCUGCCUAAGGAUGAGGCCGCGACCGAUCAGGUUGUUGGCGAGGUAAUGGCUCACCAAGCCUUUUACCGGUGCGGGCCGUGGGAGCGGGAGCCCGGAGAUGGGUACUGAGACAAGGACCCAGGCCCUACGGGGCGCAGCAGUCGCGAAACCUUUGCAAUAAGCGAAAGCUUGACAGGGCUAUCCCGAGUGCCAUCCGCUGAGGAAGGCUUUUACCCAGUCUAGAACGCUGGGGGAAUAAGGAGAGGGCAAGUCUGGUGUCAGCCGCCGCGGUAAUACCAGCUCUCCGAGUGGUGUGGAUGUUUAUUGGGCCUAAAGCAUCCGUAGCUGGCUAAGUUAGUCCCUUGUUAAAUCCACCGAAUUAAUCGUUGGAUCGCGGGGGAUACUGCUUGGCUAGGGGACGAGAGAGGCAGACGGUAUUUUCGGGGUAGGGGUGAAAUCCUAUAAUCCCGGGAAGACCACCAGUGGCGAAGGCUGUCUGCUAGAACGCGCCCGGCGGUGAGGGAUGAAAGCUGGGGGAGCGAACCGGAUUAGAUACCCGGGUAGUCCCAGCUGUAAACGAUGCAGACUAGGUGUUUGGACGGCCACGUGCCGUUCUAGUGCCGCAGGGAAGCUGUUAAGUCUGCCGCCUGGGGAGUACGAUCGCAAGAUUGAAACUUAAAGGAAUUGGCGGGGGAGCAC
rnacentral:rRNA from 1 species